UGAGCAAUCUGCCCUUCUCAUCGGAAUAAGCGUUGGAAACGACGUCUAAUGCCGAAUACGACCUCCUUUCGCAUGAUCGGAGGUGGAAAGCUCCGGCGGAGAAGGAUGAGCUCGCGGCCUAUCAGCUAGUUGGUGUGGGUAGUGGCCCACAAGGCGACGACGGGUAGCCGGCCUGAGGAGGGUGACCGGCCACACUGGGACUGAGACACGGCCCAGACCUCCGUACGGGGAGCAG
rnacentral:rRNA from 1 species